UUGCGCAAGUGGUGUUUAUAUCCGCAAUCUUCGCAAUCCUCUGCCGGCCCGGUUUUCCUAAUAUUGUUUCCAGAAUCACUGCCCGGACACAUGUCCACGGCGACCUCCCCAAUCAGGAGGGUCGCGGCCAGCAAUCCCACAGGGUUGUGCUUGGCCCCCGGGCUACACACGGUCCACAAGACAGGUGUGAGGUGAGCCGGCGUCACGAGCGUCGAGCCAGGACAAGUUUCUCGAAGGGCGACCCACGGGUCGCCCU
rnacentral:sRNA from 1 species